rnacentral:rRNA from 1 species
AAUAGUAAACUAGAAAAACACAUUUAUUAUAUCGUUAACCCUACACAGGAGUGUUCAUAGGAAGGAUUUAAGGAAAGUAAAGGAACUCGCCAAACACAAACUCCCCCUGUUUACCAAAAACAUCGCCUCUUGCAAACCCCAUAUAAGAGGUCCCGCCUGCCCUGUGACAUUGUUUAACGGCCGCGGUAUUAUGACCGUGCGAAGGUAGCGUAAUCACUUGUCUUUUAAUUGAAGACCUGUAUGAAAGGCAUCACGAGAGUUUACCUGUCUCUAUUUUCUAAUCAAUGAAAUUGAUUUCCCCGUGCAGAAGCGGGGAUAUAACCAUAAGACGAGAAGACCCUAUGGAGCUUUAAACACUUAAGUUACUAUCUUAUUUAUUAAUUAAUCUAAAGACUUAACCUAUUCUAAUAGUAACCUAACUUAAUGUUUUCGGUUGGGGCGACCAAGGAGUAAAAGAAAACCUCCUUAUCGAUUGAGUAUUUUUACUUAAAAGUCAGAACGACAGUUCUGAUUAAUAGAAUAUCUAACGAAUAAUGACCCAGGGCUAUACCCUGAUCAAUGAACCAAGUUACCCUAGGGAUAACAGCGCAAUCCUUUCUAAGAGUCCAUAUCGCCGAAAGGGUUUACUACCUCGAUGUUGGAUCACGACAUCCUAAUGGUGCAACCGCUAUUAAGGGGUCGUUUGUUCAACGAUUUAUAAUCCUACGUGAUCUGAGUU